UACGAAGGGGGCUAGCGUUGCUCGGAAUCACUGGGCGUAAAGGGUGCGUAGGCGGGUCUUUAAGUCGAGGGGUGAAAUCCUGGAGCUCAACUCCAGAACUGCCUUUGAUACUGAGGAUCUUGAGUAUGGGAGAGGUGAGUGGAACUGCGAGUGUAGAGGUGAAAUUCGUAGAUAUUCGCAAGAACACCAGUGGCGAAGGCGGCUCACUGGCCCAUUACUGACGCUGAGGCACGAAGCGUGGGAGCAAACAGG
rnacentral:rRNA from 1 species